rnacentral:tRNA from 1 species
CGGAACGUGGCGCAGCCCGGUAGCGCACUUGACUGGGGGUCAAGGGGUCGCGGGUUCAAAUCCCGCCGUUCCGAC